rnacentral:ncRNA from 1 species
UACCUGGUUGUAUUCUGCCAGUAGUCAUAUGCUUGUCUCAAAGAUUAAGCCAUGCAUGUCUAAGUAUAAGCAAUUUAUACCGUGAAACUGCGAAUGGCUCAUUAAAUCAGUUAUCGUUUAUUUGAUAGUACCUUACUACUUGGAUAACCGUGGUAAUUCUAGAGCUAAUACAUGCUAAAAGCCCCGACUUCGGAAGGGGUGUAUUUAUUAGAUAAAAAACCAAUGCCCUCCGGGGCUCCUUGGUGAUUCAUAAUAACUUAACGAAUCGCAUGGCCUUGUGCCGGCGAUGGUUCAUUCAAAUUUCUGCCCUAUCAACUUUCGAUGGUAGUAUAUGGGACUACCAUGGUUUCAACGGGUAACGGGGAAUUAGGGUUCUAUUCCGGAGAGGGAGCCUGAGAAACGGCUACCACAUCCAAGGAAGGCAGCAGGCGCGCAAAUUACCCAAUCCCGACACGGGGAGGUAGUGACAAUAAAUACUGAUACAGGGCUCUUUUGGGUCUUGUAAUUGGAAUGAGUACAAUUUAAAUCCCUUAACGAGGAACAAUUGGAGGGCAAGUCUGGUGCCAGCAGCCGCGGUAAUUCCAGCUCCAAUAGCGUAUAUUAAAGUUGUUGCAGUUAAAAAGCUCGUAGUG